AGCGAACGCUGGCGGCGUGCCUAACACAUGCAAGUCGAACGUGAAAAGGGAAACCUGAGUAAAGUGGCGUACGGGUGAGUAACGCGUAGGUAAUCUACCCCAGAAUCUGGAAUAACCUGCCGAAAGGCGGGCUAAUACUGGAUAGAGCGAGGGAACUCGUAAGAGAGUUUUUCGGGAAAGGGAGCCCGCAAGGGCCUUCGUUCUGGGAUGAGCCUGCGUCCCAUUAGCUAGUUGGUAAGGUAACGGCUUACCAAGGCGAUGAUGAGUAGCUGGUCUGAGAGGAUGAUCAGCCACACUGGAACUGAAACACGGUCCAGACUCCUACGGGAGGCAGCAGUGGGGAAUCUUGCGCAAUGGACGAAAGUCUGACGCAGCCACGCCGCGUGAGUGAAGAAGGCCUUCGGGUUGUAAAGCUCUGUCGGAUGGGACGAACAUCUUCAUAGUGAAUAGCUAUGAGGACUGACGGUACCAUCAAAGGAAGCACCGGCUAACUCCGUG
rnacentral:rRNA from 1 species